rnacentral:rRNA from 1 species
GACGAACGCUGGCGGCGUGCCUAACACAUGCAAGUCGAACGAAGCGUGCUGGAAGCUUGCUUCUCUCAAUCUUAGUGGCGAACGGGCGAGUAAUGCGUAAUCAACCUGUCCUUCAGAGGGGGACUAAAGCCGGAAACGAUUGCUAAUACCGCAUACGAUCUAAUCUCGGUAUCGAGGAUAGGUGUUAGGUGGUUUCUACAUGUAAGCUAUCACUGAAGGAGGGGCCUGCGCUUGAUUAGCUAGUUGGAGGGGUAACGGCCCACCAAGGCGAUGAACAGUAGCCGGUCUGAGAGGAGGAACGGCCACGUUGGGACUGGGACACGACCCAGACUCCUACGAGAGACAGCAGUGGGGAAUCUUCCGCAAUGGACGAAAGUCUGACGAAGCAACGCCGCGUGAGAGAUGACGGCCUUCGGGUUGUAUAGCUCUGUUAGUCGGAACGAAAGGCCAUCUUGCGAAUAGGGAGAAAUAUUGACGGUACCGGAAGAAAAAGCCACGGCUAACUACGUG